CUCCUGGGCGUCACACAGACAGAUGGGCAGCAGCAAGAAGAUCAGAGAAAAGUUGGCCAUGCCGAGGAACAACUGCAAGAACAUUUGGACGGCGCUGUGCGAGGAGAUGCAAAUGUCGGAACAUUCCGAGCCCGAGUCGGCGAAAUUUUUUCCGUCUCUCCAAAACUUAGUCGAGUUCCAGAACUUAGUCUGCGGAAACAUCAACUGUCCAGCCUGGAAGAUGUUGUCGUCUUUAGACCAACAACAACAUGCUAACUUUAUACCAAUGUAACCUAUUUUUAUGGUUUUGCCUCUUUGUGAUGUUAAGUUCCUGUUAUACAGUAUAUGCCUUGAGCUCUUAUUUUGAAGGUGAAAAGAACGGAAAUGAUGUCAUGUUGGAGUGGAGCGGAGAUUUAAAAACAAACGAAAUAAAAUAGUCCUCGCUUUAAUUCCACAUAUUCCACAUCAACCAGAAGACUGCAGCCAGAUGAAAGAAGUCUGUGUACUUUCUGACAAGACGAAGCUUCGCCAUGGCUAACUGCGGCUAAAUGAGAUGAAGCUAGCUGACUCUCCGGACUUUACGGUUUGGGAAUUCACCAAAACGUCAGCGUGGAGUUACUGAGUCUGUUUAGCUGAUUGGAGAGCUAGCUUGUGCAGCCGUGACCAUGACUUCUGUUUUGUUCGAUCAUCCGUUUUACUGCCGUGUUACAGACACCGUUUGGAAACAUUUGAGUACCGGGAAGAACCGACAAGAGAACCGAAUCGUUAAGUGGAAUCAAAGUGUAAUGGGAACUGGGGACACUUGAUCAAUUCCCGUCCUUCGUAACAAGACUGCAUGGACAUGUUGUGACCUGCAUGUGAACUUAGUUACAGUAGUGCAACACUAGCAAGAUUUAGUUAGUGGCCCCGCCCUAAAGACCAUGUCCAGCCUCACAUUCAUCUCAACUCUACAUUGAAUUCACCGACAUGAAGAGCAUUAUUAAAAAAAACACAGAUCAUUUCUGCAAAGCAACAGACUGAGUGCACACACAACCCACCGUGUCUCCAGGUUUGACAUGAGAACAGCGCUUCAGGUCCGUGGAGACGCUCCCGUUGGGACAGAUGGCCGUGAAGGACAUGCGCAGCUCUUCCGUGUCUCCAAUCACCUCCAGUUCGAUCUCCGAUCGCAGUUCCUGGAAAUCAUCGGGGUUUUUUUGGUCAAAAUAUUCUGUCUGUGCUAGGAUUGUCUCCAUGCCAAUAUUUUGGUACAGGUACCAAAAUGUAUCUUAAUACUUUUCGAUACUUUUCUAAAUAAAGGGGACAUGUAUGCCAGCUAGUGUUGUCCCCAUACCAAUAUUCUGGUACCGGUACCAAAAUGAUUUUGAUACUUUUUCGAUACUUUUCUACAUAAAGGGGACCACAAAAAAAAUGCAUUAUUGUUUUUAUUUGAACAAAAACUCUUAGGGUACAUGAAACAUAUGUUUAUUGUUUUAAUGUAGUCCUUAAAGGGGAACAUUAUCACAAUUUCAAAAGGGUUAAAAACAAUAAAAAUCAGUUCUCAGUGGCUUGUUGUAUUUUUUGAAGUUUUUUUUCAAAAUUUUACCGGUUUCGGAAUAUCCCUAAAUAAAGCUUUAAAGUGCCUUAUUUUCGCUCUCUGCGAAGACACUGGCCAUUUCCCUGUGACGUCACACAGUGCUGCCAAUGUAAACAAACAAUGACAAUACCACAGCAAGAUAUAGCGACAUUAGCUCGGAUUCAAACUCGGAUUUCAGCGACUUAAGCGAUUCAACAGAUUACGCAUGUAUUGAAACAGAUGGUUGGAGUAUGAAAAUAUUGAAGAAGAAACUGAAGCUAUUGAGCGAAUAGCUAUUGACGCUAUUCAUAGCCGU